rnacentral:lncRNA from 1 species
CUCAUAGGUUGGAGACAGAUAAUACAUACUUAUAAGACAUUUAUUGCAUAGUCAAACCAUGGAUCCAGAAGAACAAGUCAAUAAGUCAAAUCAAGAUGUGCAUGUAUGGCGAGUGAAUGGUGUAUGGUGAUGAUGGUGAUAACAAUGGUGAAAAUCUAAUUCUACUUUUGCUCUUUUAAGGGGAUACAUACCUUUCUUGCACUUUGAAGCUUUUUGAGGAGAAUGAGAUGCUCUAUAUUUUCUUUUUCUUUCCUCUCAGGUGGGUAUCUUGUACCCCUAAUUCUACUAUCGGACAGUUGUCCAUUUUUACCUCUCGUCUCACUUUUUCUUUUCUUCGAGGUUCCGGGCACUUGCCCCUUUUUAUUUCCUCGUAUCCUCUUUUUUCUAGAGCACUCAUCUCCUGAAAUAAUAUAGCAAGUGGUAGUAACCAAGAUAACUCGAGCACUUAUUUCAUAGGGAAAAAACAAAAAUGUUGUUGGCUAUUCUCUCCCGGAUUAGGAGUAGAAUACUUUUGGGUGGCUCGGGAGAUGGAAGUGAGUGGAUGUAUGUGGAUGCGUACUUCCAGAGUAGAAGUAGCAUGUGUGAGUGAACGUGCAAGUGGAUCUUGAUUUUAACCGCAUGACAAGCUCCUAAGGGUCUACACAGCUUGACCACACUCAAUGCUCAUAAGCAGUAA